GAAUGUCAAAUUUCUAGUAUGAGAAAUUAACGAUUUAAGUCCUUCUUAAAUGAGGCCAUUUACCCAUAGAGGGUGCCAGGCCCGUAUAACGUUAAUGAUUACUAGAUGACAUUUCCAAAGAGUCGUGUUGCUUGAUAGUGCAGCACUAAGUGGGUGGUAAACUCCAUCUAAAACUAAAUAUAACCAUGAGACCGAUAGUAAACAAGUACCGUGAGGGAAAGUUGAAAAGAACUCUGAAUAGAGAGUUAAAUAGUACGUGAAACUGCUUAGAGGUUAAGCCCGAUGAACCUGAAUAUCCGUUAUAGAAAAUUCAUCAUUAUGAUUUUAAUAUUUAUACAUAUUAUAAUAAUGGUGUGCAUUUUUUCUAUAAAGGACAUUGUAAUCUAUUAAUAUUGUAAUAUUUAUCAUAAGAUCAAUAUGCGUAAGUUUAUUCAAAUUAUUUUGCUUGCAAUUUAAUAUAGAAUAAAUGCUUUUGAUUUGAUAAAGUAUUGAUAGAUUUAUUAUAUAUAGUGCUUAAAUAAAUUUAUAUUUUAUAAUGGCAUAUUAAUCAUUGAUUUUUAUGUUUAUUAUAUGCACUUAUAUGAUUAACAAUGCGAAAGAUUCAGGAUACCUUCGGGACCCGUCUUGAAACACGGACCAAGGAGUCUAACAUAUUUGCAAGUUAUUGGGAAUAAAAAACCUAAUAGCGUAAUUAACAUAACUUUAAAUGGGAUUAGUUUUUAGUCUAUUUUUAAUAGCCUAUUAAUUCAAUCCCGGGGCGUUCUAUACAGUUAUGUAUAAUAAUAUUUAUAUUAUUUAUACCUCUAACUAGAGCGUACCUUGAGCAUAUAUGCUGUGACCCGAAAGAUGGUGAACUAUACUUGAUCAGGUUGAAGUCAGGGGAAACCCUGAUGGAAGACCGAAACAGUUCUGACGUGCAAAUCGAUUGUCAGAAUUGAGUAUAGGGGCGAAAGACCAAUCGAACCAUCUAGUAGCUGGUUCCCUCCGAAGUUUCCCUCAGGAUAGCUGGUGCAUUUAAAAUUUAUGUAAAAUAAUCUUAUCUGGUAAAGCGAAUGAUUAGAGGCCUUAGGGUCGAAACGAUCUUAACCUAUUCUCAAACUUUAAAUGGGUAAGAACCUCACCUUUCUUGGUAUGAAGGUUGUGGUUGUGAUAUAAUGUGCCCAGUGGGCCACUUUUGGUAAGCAGAACUGGCGCUGUGGGAUGAACCAAACGUAAUGUUACGGUGCCCAAAUUAACAACUCAUGCAGAUACCAUGAAA
rnacentral:rRNA from 1 species